CGGUUAACAGUCGGAGCUCGUGCAAAACACGACCGGGAACUUUGCCUGUUUAAAUGCUUUCAAGGCCGAUUCGUUCUUAGCGACUUAUCUGGAAUCGUGUUGUUGACUUUUGGCUUGUCUUUUACGACUUUUACACGAACAUAAAGCUGCCAAACGACAUCGUUCGCCAAACUGUCUCCAUGGUGAAAAUCGGCCAAACCAGGUCAGAAUUCUCUUUUUGCCGACGAGAUUGAAUCAAUAUUGACAAAGUUUCGGGAAUAUUUUACUUUCAAACAGAGCUAUUGUUAAGUGUGAACGUCCUAUACCAGUUACAACUUAACAUUAUUCUGAACACCGACCUGACGGGGUUGCGGUUUUAUUGAGUGACGUGUGAAGCGAUUUUAAUUAGUUUUUAAUAUUUGAUUGAAGCUACGUUUACUUUAUUGCGCAAUUCAACUGUUAGCUUUCGAGUACUUAUGAUACAAGUUUAAAUAGGACCUUUCCCACUGUAUAUUUUGACUGCAAAUAUUUCAUGUUGUAAUAUGUGGGCGAGGUUCGAGAAGUUUCUUUGCAACUUAUUUAUAUCCACGACAGAGUCACCUCAUUGCCCUUUAAUAUGCAAUGUGCAUAUAAUUAGCACAUAUGUUCGACGGCGUGGCCCUCUGGUUGCAGCGCUUGCGACAUAAUCUAAAGAUACUUAAUCAAUGUCCGAAGCUUUUUUAGAGUAUUCUUGAUCAAGCAAGUUAAAGAAAAUUAUUCAUACCUAAAGCCUAGUAAUGAGUUGUUCGUAAUGCCAGCUGUGCAAAAACAUUUCGCACACGAAGUGUAUGUGAGAGCAGAAACCUGUUAACGACUGUCGUUGGUCCGCCACGCGCGCGUAACAUUUUUUCGUGUGCUUUCGCCACAAGCAUUUCAUGUAGUAAUAUACGGUGAGGUGGGAAAAAUGGGACACCCUUUUAUUGCUUUUUCGUCUCAUGUGGAAGUAGAACAUUCAAAGAAUUAUAAAACCAUAUCCUUACGACUCCCAUAAACGGAUGUUAAUUGGUUAAAAUACAAUCAGGAAAUUUAAAUAUUAUCUGCUAAAGAUGUCCCGUCUUCCCCCACCCUACAAUAUUCAUUUUCUUAACCCUUCGCAUUACCCAAAUACUAACAUGAUUGAAUCUCAACAUUUAAUAAAUGUACAAAAUGUGGAUACUGACAGUAUGUCAGAUAUUGUAGUAAUGGAUCUGUUUGUCAAUAUAAAGUUA